rnacentral:rRNA from 1 species
GACGAACGCUGGCGGCGUGCCUAAUACAUGCAAGUUGAGCGCUGAAGGUUGGUACUUGUACCAACUGGAUGAGCAGCGAACGGGUGAGUAACGCGUGGGGAAUCUGCCUUUGAGCGGGGGACAACAUUUGGAAACGAAUGCUAAUACCGCAUAAAAACUUUAAACACAAGUUUUAAGUUUGAAAGAUGCAAUUGCAUCACUCAAAGAUGAUCCCGCGUUGUAUUAGCUAGUUGGUGAGGUAAAGGCUCACCAAGGCGAUGAUACAUAGCCGACCUGAGAGGGUGAUCGGCCAAAUUGGGACUGGGACACGGCCCAAACUCCUACGGGAGGCAGCAGUAGGGAAUCUUCGGCAAUGGACGAAAGUCUGACCGAGCAACGCCGCGGGAGUGAAGAAGGUUUUCGGAUCGUAAAACUCUGUUGGUAGAGAAGAACGUUGGUGAGGGUGGAAAGCUCAUCAAGUGACGGUAACUACCCAGAAAGGGACGGCUAACUACGUG